AAUGAACGUUGGCGGCGUGGAUUAGGCAUGCAAGUCGAGCGAGAAGGGUUUGGUGCUUGCAUUGAACCUGGAAAGCGGCGAAAGGGAGAGUAACGCGUAGAUAUGUACCCUGGGGUCUGGGAUAGCGUCGGGAAACUGGCGGUAAUACCGGAUAACGUCUCCGGACCAAAGAUUUAUUGCCCUGGGAGCAGUCUGCGUCCUACUAGCUUGUUGGUGGGGUAAAAGCCUACCAAGGCCAUGAUGGGUAGCGGGCGUGAGAGCGUGACCCGUCUCACUGGGACUGAGACACUGCCCAGACACCUACGGGUGCUGCAGUCGAGAAUCUUCCGCAAUGGACGAAAGUCUGACGGAGCGACGCCGCGUGCGGGAUGAAGCCUCGGGUAAACCGCUGUCAGAGGGGAGGAAUUUUGACCGAUCCUCAGAGGAAGUCCGGGCUAAGUUCGUGCCAGCAGCCGCGGUAAU
rnacentral:rRNA from 1 species